CACGGCCCUGGUCCUGCUGGCCACAGAACACACCCGAGGAGAGAAGGCUCCAGGCAUGUCUGACACAAGCACCUGUGUGGGGGCUUCUCAACUUUUGCAUUAUAGAGGGAAAUGGUGGAGCUUGUACUUCUGUGAAAGGAUGUACAGUUUUCUGGAAUUUGCUCACUAUGAGGAGUAAGGACCUGCACUCAAUAAGUAAAGAAAAAUCCAAAGUGAAAGAUCCUGGAGGAGCCCCUUGAGAGCUGAAAAUCAGUCUUCCCUGAUGUGAAAGACUCAUCAUUUAUGCUACUUCUAGCAGGUCAGAAGUGCUGUAAGGCAUUAACACUAUGUAAGUGCAAUGUAGGCGCAACUUACAGCAUCGAUGAGAUACCACAAGAAAAACGUGCUAAGUGUCAAAAAAGAAGGAAAAGAAGAUCACCACACAUUUCCCUCCCAUUCCAAAGUGGAGAAAUUGGAGCUUGUCUAAAUAAUUCUGCUCCGUGAAUGUGAGCCAAGAAUGGAAACGUCCAAGACUGGUGUGCAAAGUUUAGUGGAAAACCUGUGGUCUGAGGGGACAAGUCUGCAAAAAAUGUAAGUCUGAUUGGGGGACAGUGAAGGUUUCUUUGCUUACUCUGACACUGGAGCAGCCACAGAGUUGCUUGUUUCUUAUUCUUUGUAAGCCUUCAUGAGAUAAACAUUUAGCACAAGCUAUGAAAGAAAUUUAGUCACCACAUGCUCCCUGAAAUGUAAUAUAAAAUGGAAAACAAAAUUAGCUUCUCUGCAGUUGGUGGGACAGGGCAAAUGCUUGCUGCUGCAUCAUGUUCAUAGAGGAAAAUGUGAUUGAUCUGGUUCUAGAAGUCACUUAAUAAAUGGUGGCAAUGCAUUGUAUUUGUAUGCUCUCACUGAUUGUAAACAUUUGCACACAGCCUCUGAAACCCUGUUCAGUAAAUGAUCCCUUACAAACUAAGAUACUGAUGAAGUGCACACACUGGGCCAGCAACUGUGUAAAUGAGUGUACAAAAAAAAAAGGCAUGGGGGUCAUUUCAAGAGACAGAAGAGAUAGUAACUGCAGGGAAACUAAGGCUGCAGUGGGCAUACAGCAUUUAUUGCUUCUGGGCAUAUUAAUUUUUAAGACAGAGAUUUAACUUUAUUUUCAUAUCUUGGUGUUCUACCUGAAACCAAUUGGUCUUUCAUAGAGUAAAACAGUGACAGACCAUUUUCAAAUAAAAGCAAUAGUGAGCCUACUACAUAUCAACAAUCCCUCUGAGUCAUAGAAAAUUGCAACACAACUUGGAAAUGUUUUUUGUUUUUUGAAAGGAAUAGUGAUGAUUUUGACGUUAAAGAAGCACUGAACUUCUCUUUAUGGACUCCAGAAAAUCUUGACAGCUCUUAAAAGUCCUUGGUUUACCCAAUCCUAAACCCAUCACUGUGGCCCACUCUCUUGGAUAUGUGUAUUUAACUUGGUCUUUCAGCUAAAGGGUCAGUUAUGAAAUGUCAUGCAGGUAUUUGAAGCAUUAAAUAAGGCUUAGAAGUAUCUAAGUAUUUAUCUGCCUCAGAUAUGCAAGAAAAACUCCUACACCUCAGUAUUAUUAUUA